CUGAAUGUAAUCAAGUUGUGAUGAAUUAAUUUAUUUAAUGACAAAAAUAUUUGUAUCAAAAUUCACCCAUGAUCAUAUAAUAAAAAUAACUAAAAUUAUACUAAAGAAUAAUAUCUCAUUACAAACUCCUUAAAUAAAAGUAAAAUAUGUCCAAUGACAAGAAAAUCUAACUAAAAUAUAUCAAAUAUUACUCCUAAACAAAGAUAUAUAAGUAAAAAUUACCUUCCAAAGUAUCAAUAAUGUGGUGACACAUAGCUUGCAAUCAAUCUUACUUCAAUUCCCACCUUUUAUACCUGUAAAAAGAAAGAGAAAAUAAAAUAAAGAUCUAAAUUGAGAUAUUCAUAUUAGAGUCAAAAGUAAAAUAUGUAACACAAUUUUGUCUUUCAUAUGUUGUAAUGCCCAGUUUUAUAAGUAAUUUUUAAUUUACAAUAUAAAUUUUAUCAUUACAAAUUUAACUUGAGUGAAAGUUUAUGAAGUAUAUCAUCACAAACUACUCUAUAUGGCAACAUAAACUUCAUCAUUCAUGAAACUGCUAACUAUUAAAACAUAAUGUAAAAACUACAAUCUAGUAAAAUUAUAAGUGCAAAAUGAACAAAAGAACAUAAAAAUCCCACAUAAAACCAUAAAACAGUACCAAGUUCAUAUCUUUAACAAUUGGUCUCCUAAAUAAAGAAAAAAUAAAAAAAGAAGACUAAGUUGUGAUUAGGCCUCAUAUGGUAUAGUCUCCAGUCAAUUACUGAACCACAUAGUGUGAAAAAUGAUAAUAAAACAUAGCCAAUAAAACUUAGAUCUACAUAUCCAUUAAAGAUUAACCAGUGAUUAUGUGAAUAUAGGGUUAAAGAAUAUGAAAUACAAAGAAAAGACCUUUCUUGUUGAUUUCUUUUCAAUUUUUGUUUUCAUUUCUCUCUCUAUAUAUUUGUUUUAAAGUUGAACGUGGGAGAUGAGAAAGGAAAGGAAGAUGAAAGAAGACAAAGAAGAAAAAAAGGAAUAUUUUUUUAUCUUUUCUGUAUCAGUGUGGUUGAACUACCUGAAAAUAAUUUAUUUUUUUUAUGUUUCCUAUUUUGAUUCUUUUAAUUUUUUUCCUUUUUAAAAUUAAUUAAUUGUCUUGGAAGAUUAAAAAAAAAAGAACCAUCAAAAUCGAUGACGGAAAACCAACAAUGCAAAUUGUCAUGGGGUCCACCUUAUAAGAUACUAGAAAAAAUAUAUAAAAACAAUUACACUUCCACUAUUUAUUGAUAAUUGAUACACUAUUCUUAAAGUAAAAUUAAGCAAGUGUAAGACCUAUAAUGUAGUAAUACUUUUCAUUUCAAAUUAAUAGUCUUACUUUUAAAAAAAUAUUUCUCACUUUUUAACAACCUUUUAACUUUUUAAAGUUUCAAAAAUUAAAAGAUUUAUCUAUAUAUCUUAUCGAAAUGAGAAUCAGAUAUACGUAAUUUAUGAAGCUUCAAAUAUGAAAUAAGCAGGUCUUUUUUGGUGUUUUUCAUAUAAAGAAAAAAUAUUUUCAAAAUUUUUAAGUUAGAGCAAACUUUCUAACUCUAGACAUAUUUUGUGAAAAUACAGUUUAAAUCAUUCAAGAAUGUGUGUAACUUUCUUUUAAGCCAUAAAUACAUGUAUCAUCGUAAGAGAAUCAAAAUAUAAAAGCAAGAAUAAACGUAGACAAUAGUUUUACUUAAACAUGAAAUAAAUCAUGGGUUGUUUAAACCUGAAAUAAAAUAAGGUUUGUUAUAACAAUUUCGCACUAAGUCUAAUGAUAUAAAAUAUCUAAACAUAAAGUUGAUAUGAAAGAUUUGAACAUUCUUCAUAUUAUAACAUCAACGAAUAUUAAUGGUUUAAAUACAUACAAAAUUUAACAAUUUCAAUAUAUUGCAACCAAUGCUUGUAUAAUCAUGAUAUUAAACUAUAUAAAAAGGAUUAAAUGUUACCUCUUGUGAAAAUUAAUUCACAAAGAAAAGACCAUAACUGAAACCACAAAUUAGAAACCACGAAUAAAAACCCCGAACUUAACUUUUCUUUUGUUGCUGAACGAUUUUUUUUGGUUAGUAUUGCUGGAAGGAAAGAGUGCUUGGUGUAUGAUUUGGAAUUUGGAUGCGUGAGUUUCUGUAUGUAUUUUUGAUUGUUUUUUAUUUAUUUUUUAUCUUUCUAUAUUUGUGUUUUGUGUAUGUGUCGGGUGUGUGUAGUGUGAGGGGGUAAUGGGAGAAGUGGGG
rnacentral:lncRNA from 1 species